ACAUGAGCCACCAAAAUGGUGGUGUUCGGGUAUGAGGCUGGGACUAAGCCAAGGGAUUCAGGUGUGGUGCCGGUGGGAACUGAGGAAGCGCCCAAGGAAAUGAAACACGAUUUCCAAAAUGAACUUAAUCUUUCAUGAGAAACUGAGGAUAGAGAUGUCAAUAAGCAGCCACUGUUUCCACCUCCCCACCUGAAGAGCUAGGAGGACAACUACAAAGAGCCUGACUGCCUUCUCGGAAUGAGGAGAGAGGAAAACAGCAACAGUAUCAGUUUUCAAGAUGGCAGCAUCUAUGCAUGGUCAGCCCAGUCCUUCUCUAGAAGAUGCAAAACUCAGAAGACCAAUGGUCAUAGAAAUCAUAGAAAAAAAUUUUGACUAUCUUAGAAAAGAAAUGACACAAAAUAUAUAUCAAAUGGCGACAUUUGGAACAACAGCUGGUUUCUCUGGAAUAUUCUCAAACUUCCUGUUCAGACGCUGCUUCAAGAUAAUAUAAGCAAGGAAAACUGUGUUUUCAGAAGCUCACUGAUUGGCAUAGUUUGUGGUGUUUUCUAUCCCAGUUCUUUGGCUUUUACUAAAAA
rnacentral:lncRNA from 1 species